rnacentral:rRNA from 1 species
AAAACAUGUCCUUUAGAAUUUAAUUUAAGGUCUGACCUGCCCACUGAUUUAAAUGGCCGCAGUAUUUUAACUGUGCAAAGGUAGCAUAAUCAUUAGUCUUUUAAUUGAAGGCUUGUAUGAAUGGUUGGACGAAAUAUUAACUGUUUCAUAAAAAUUGAAUUAGAAUUUUAUUUUUUAGUUAAAAAGCUAAAAUUUUUUUAAAAGACGAGAAGACCCUAUAGAUCUUUAUAUUUUAUAUAUUAUAAUUAAUUAGAUUAUUUAAUUUAUAUUAUAUAAAAUAUUUUGUUGGGGUGACAUUAAAAUUUAAUUAACUUUUAAUUAUUUAUAACAUUAAUUUAUGAACAAUUGAUCCAUUAUUAAUGAUUAAAAAAUUAAGUUACCUUAGGGAUAACAGCGUAAUUUUUUUAGAGAGUUCAUAUCGAUAAAAAAGAUUGCGACCUCGAUGUUGGAUUAAGAUAUAAUUUUGGGUGCAGCAAUUCAAUUAUUAAGUCUGUUCGACUUUUAAUUUCUUACAUGA